GCUGGAGAUUCCUUUUUUCCAUGAGGCCUUCUGAAGCUCCCUGAUGCAUCAGCUGCUCCUUCCCACCUCCAGCACUUGGUGUGCUGUGCUCUCAUCCCUGCAUUCCAGCACAUGUGUCCUUGGAAGCUGUGAGCUGCCAGGACCUGUGUGGGUCCUGGAGGGUAUCCUGCAGGCUCUGGUUUGUACUGGUUGAGCCCCCGCUCUGCUACUUUACUCUGGCUGUAGUCAUCCAUCCCAACACCAGGUUCAGGAUUGUUUUAUCUCUCAUGCUACUGGUGCCACCAGCACGGUGCAUCAUCCAGAGCAUCCUGCUGAUGGCUUCUCUGCAGGAUGACCACAAGUGUGGGGCACAGGGGCCUUGGAAACAUUCCUUCUGCAAUGUACGGCUGCUUGGGUGCAUGGGUGAGACCCACUGAGGGCUGGUGUGGGGGCUUUCAGGGGAUGACACGAUGGAGAAGACCAGGCAUCCAUGAUUUGCCUUUGCUUUCUGAUAAGAUUUGCACUGAGGUUCCUGGAAAAGCCCAUUCCCUCUGCUCUCUGCCCCCGUUUUGCAGCUCAGCUGUCCCCAAAAGCACCGUGCAGCCGCAGUGCACAGCUGCAGCCACAUCCCCUGUUCCAGCAGAGCAUGAAAGAGAAGCAAGCAGCAUCACCCUUCCUGCUGCCCACCUCCCUGCUCAGAUGGAACGGGCUUUAAAUCCUCAUCCUGACCCCUCCCCCCCUCGCAGCCCCUCUGUGCAGGAGCGCUGAGCUGAGCUCCCUCACCCCUCCCUGCUUUGUGAAGGUCACUCCUGCCCCGUGCUCUUCAGACGUGCUGAGUCUCCACCUCAUUUCCUAUGCAUUGAACUUCCCAGACCUGCAGGACUCUCCGACAGCAAGGCGUGAGGAUUUGACCAUUAUUUUUCUCUUGCUUUCCCCCCGCAUCUCUCUCUCUCUCUCUGAGAGAGGAUUAUGGGUUGCACCUAUUAAUUUUAGUCCUGAAGCAGUGAGUGGAACUUUGCUGAGUGUUUUACAACCUGCUUUCUCCCAAAUCCCCUCUCUGUGCCCUUCCUGGGAGCAAAGGAGAAAGCCAUGCAGGGAGUCAGCAUGAGAGGGUCAUGCUGCGUCUGCACCCAUGGGCGAGGAUGCAAAGGGACCCUGCAGCAAUGCAUCGCCCUCACUGCAUUUGCAGAACUGCAGCAUUGCAACUUGGCAGCAGCACCCCACCUCCCACCCAUCCUCUUCCACACUUGCAUGAGGAGAAAGGCAAUGAAAAGCCACAGGUUUGUUUGGCUUUUGGUGCAUCUUGCAACAGAAACCAGGCAGCGCUGCCCCCCUCUAAACGCUGCCCUUGCUUUUUUGGGGGGAUACCAGAUAGGAUUUCAGCUGUGAUUAAAAUGUGCAGCGUGAGGUGGGCAUGUCAUAAACCUAGUGGUGACGGAUUGAUUUCAAUCCCAAACUUUUACACCCUGAGUCCUGAGCCUCUCCAGCAGCGAGCACAGCCAUGCGGGGAAGGUUUUAUGGAGCAUAAAGGCACAGGCUGCCAUAAAACUGGGGAGCGGGAGGAAGGCCAGCCCCGAUUAGGAGGCAGUGUGGGCAUGAAUACGUGGUGCUAUGGGGGAAACUUCCAGCAGUGCUUUGGAAAACAAAAAUGGGCACUUCCACUGUCAGUUUUGGGGCAGUUUCAGCUGUAACCAAGACUCAGAGCGGUCACUGUGGAAGUAGAGUUCAGUGGGUUUUAAUUGAAAUCAUUCUUUCUGCUAUAAAUAACCCAAAGACUUGAUCCUAAAUGGGCAAACCAUGGUAUUGAUGGCUUGCAACAGACACAAGAUGAAUCCUCCAUCCGCCAGCAUCUCUCUUGUAACAGGGGAUAUGCCGACGCCAUAAAUUCCGGAGGACAGGAUUGCUAUGCAACGGCAUAAUACAUCUUCUAUUCAAUCUUUUAUACAUUAUGUUUCGUCCUGCAGUUCGGUCGAAAUAUUUAUGGACUGGGAGAUGCUCUUUGAAGAAGUAUCGGCCCUAAGGGUCCUUCCUGCUGGCAGUGCUCAGUGGCCUUGGAUUAUUCGGAGGGCUGCUGUGUGGGACAGCAAUCCGAGGAUGCAAAACUGCUAAUAGUCAACAUCCUUUGGUUUGGGUUUGGUUUCUGACCCUGAGGAUGCCUGGAGCAAUCGGCUCACCUCUCUGCUCCUUUGUUCUCCCUCCCCCAAAAAAUAGAUGCACGGUGCAAGAUGCUGGGGCAGCAGCAUGUCCACAUUGCACAGCUGGCGGGGGACUCGCAAGCUUAUUUUGUUGCUUUUCUUCAAUGGGAAAAGCACCAAGGAAAUGCACUUUAAAUAGGUAAACAAAAAGAGGAACUCUCCCAAAUCAUAAUUCCCUUUCAUGUGGCUCUGCCUUAAGGCUUCUGGCUGGUGAAAUUAAAGAAAUACAAUUAAACUGGAGCUGGCUCCCCUGUGCCUCUGUGCAAACGAAGGGAAAAAAUCCUACAGGCACACGUGGCCAGACUACCAGAAAAAGCACCCACAACUUCGCUGCUUUAAUUUAAGCUUCUAUUCACAUCGUUGUCAGCAUCCAGGAACCGGUCCCAUCUGCUGCUACUCGAGAGCUGCGCGUGAAGCGCGCUGGCAGAGCUCACCUCCAUCCAUCCCUCAUGGGCAGGUGCCAGCAAGCUAAAAAUACAGCCAGAAGUGACCCUCUUCUUGGCAGCCUCCAGGAAGCCUGAAGGCUGCAGCAAGCCAGGCUCUGGCGUGGAGCAAUUCUGAAUUUUUCAAUGGGGAAGUGCUUUUUGAUCGCAGCCACACGGCCUGUGGGAUCUUCCUGGUUGGGGCAAGUCUGGCUCGUAACAGAAGUGUCCAGCUGGCCAUGGGAACUGAGAGCCCUUUCAGUGCGUUCUGCAUUGGUGCAAUUCAUGCAGAACUUGUUCUGCUGGAGCAUCUCAGCUGUGCAUCCCAUGCACCUCAGCAGCUGCUGGUCCCCGUGGUCUCGAGCAAACUGCACCCAGGAAAGGCAGCAGCAAGCAGAGAGCUUGGAACCCAUCUCCCUGCCUUCUGGAGGGGGCUUUAUCUCAUUAAAACAAACGAGCAGAUGACUGCUGCCUGUGUCAACAGGGGGACUGCACUUCGUGAUUACACUUUAUAAACCCCAAGCUGUUUACUGCCUUAGCAGAUAAGUUGAGCUUUUAAGAGGAGGAGAUACAGUCUGGGGUUUGCACAUUUAAUAGACUCCUUGCGUGUGCAUGCGGCUGUGUGAUAACACCCCCAGCCCAACUGCACGUGAGGCUGCAGCAUCGCAGGGCUUCGCUUCCAGGGCUCCUCUCCUCGCCACCAGAUGUAAUGGAUGCGCGCAACGUAAAGCACAUCUUAAUCAAUGUGAGAGAUUCUGCUUAAAACCCAAUGAUUUUGAUCUGGAGCCUGACAGCGCG